ACCUCCUGCCUUUUGUGGUUGCGUUGAUAUUUAUGAAGUCUCUGUAUUGAAGAUGUGGUUUCCUACUCUUUGCAUCUUAUUCUGAAAUUCAUCCAGCUGGCCUUUCAUAGGUGGCCCUCCCACUGAACAUGGAAACUAUACCAUCUGGCUAAAAAAACGCAAAGACUUUUGAUCUCUGGUGAAGCUGCUGAGGCUACAAAGCCAAACAAAAAUGAAGAAACCACACAAACAAGAAUACAAUGCAAUGAAUCCGUCAGACUGCACAGUACUAAGGGCCUGAUCCUAAGCCAGUUUGGGAGACACAUGCCUCAUGCAGACUCUGAUAGAAAAUAACCUGGACUAUGUACUGGCCUCAUUCCAGACUCUGCUAUUAGGCAGGCCUAUCUCCCUCAUUGAUGACAUCACUGGUGGAUCCUCUUGCAAUGGCGGAAAUGGGAAGGCGGCACAAAUUGUGUUCCAGAGCUGCCUGCUAUGGGAGAUAACUGUGGAAAACUCACCAAAAUUGGAGCUUGAAGCUGCACAAGGUUUCCUCUGCUGUAUUUCAGAAGACCCCUACAGUUUAGAUCCAGUGAUAAUUAUAUAUGGCCACCAUGACAGGAAAACAGAGCAUUACUGUUAUUCCCGUCUCCUGGAUUCCCCCAAAACCACUGAGUUCACAGGGAUUAUUCUAUUGCUCCAGCCACAAGGUCUCAUUCCACGAUCGCAUGUAUUGUUAGAGGGGUGGUUAGCAAGUUUUAGCUCAUAUGAUUCCCCCAUCUAUUGUAUGCCUUAGGCAUGUUUGCUCCUGACAGGAAUGAUGUUCACUGGCAUGAAGGCAGAGACAAUUGCAGACGGAGAUAGGGACUGGUGAAAAUUCUGUUUUUGCAGUGUUAAAUGUGUGUUUGUCUUCAGGGGAAUUGAUUCAGGGCCUAAGAUAGGGAGGAUUUCAUUGAUGUAGGUGUCUGCAUGAUGUUAGAGGUCGUGGACAUGAUGAAGUCAAUCAGGAAUAACAUGAGUCUUAUGUGUUGACAUCCUCCCUUGGGGAUGUCCUACAGUAGUCAUGCAUUAUGAUUUUGUAUUUAUUUUCUAGAUUGUGAGCAGUCUUUUUCAUACACAUGGAUAUUCACUUAUCAUGAGAGCUAAGUUUUAAAUAUUUUCACUUGUUACAAUGAAAAAUAAAUGGUAAAUGUCGUGUUGAAUGUACCUAUUA
rnacentral:lncRNA from 1 species